AUAUCCGAGUACAUACAUAUGUAUUUUCUAUGUUUUCUUUCAUUUUGGUGUCACUUUUUAGAUGCAAAGUCUUUUCUAAAAGUCAAUUCAAUAACGUCAAGUACACUCAAUGUUGAAACUUAUAAUACGUUCACAUAUGAGUAGAUGAUCUACUUUUUCGCGCUUAACUCAAAAUCCGUAAUUAAAAAGCGCGAUUUCCCAUACAAAAUUUCUCUCUCAAAAUCUGAGAUUAUAAAAUAAUCCCAGAUAAUAACGAUACUUAUUGGCAUAGAACCCUGUGUUUUCUGUAUUAUCGAUAAUUAUUAUUACGAAUGUAAGGAGAAACAUCAAAAUAAAAACUAAAUGAAAUGGAUGUCGGCAAAGAAAACAGUGCUUAGAAGUUCUGGAUAUUUUUGAUGGACAAAUGAGACAACGCAUCCUUCUUUUUGGGGCAGAUGGAUAGAACCUUGGAUACCUUUUCACCUUAGAAAAAAAUACUCUAGAUUUUAUAAACAAGUAAACUUAAAAGUGUGUCCGCGAGACAGUUGUAAAUUGUUAAGGGUUAACCAGCCUUUGGUUGAGGAGGCAGUUUAGGAAUUGGCUUAAUACGAAAUAGCUAAACAGUUCGAGUUUGAAAUUCUAGCUGCAGCUCGCAUACUCGUAAACACUUUUUAAAACACUUACGCAUAAUACUUGAUGAUUUUAUUGAAUAUCGUUCCUAACAUGGGCAUUAAUGUACCUUCGUACCGCUCAUCAGCUUUCUAACGAACCAUUUAACAAAGCGGUAAUAAUCUUACUGUUUUACCUGUAUAGGAAAUUUCUGCCCGGCAAAAUAGUCCGAAAUUAUCAGAUGACUACACCCAAGCUACAUUCCUGCUCUGCUCCAUAGUUGCCGUUUUGGUUUCUCAGCAAGAGCGCAAAAAAAGGGUCCCAUGCCCCGCUUAACUUUUUUUUGUUUUAUUUUGUUAAAUUAUUUAGAUAUUAUUUGAAUCAAAAGUAUCAAUACAUAUACACAAAUGGCAAAGUAAAUGUACGAAUGUAAACAAAACAAAUCAUUUUAUCGUUAUUCGGCGAAAAGAUCAGUUGGGUGCAUGCCGUAACCUGUAAUGAAUCCGCCUUGCGCACAGUGCUGUUGGAAAUAAAGCAAAAGUACAUACAUAUAUGUAUGUGUGUACAUAUGUAAUAGAAGUCUUUGACAUAUAAAAAUAUAAGAACACCACGUGAUGUGACUUUUUACAUGUUUUACAUAACCAGACGUAAAUCAAACUUAAGGUA